rnacentral:rRNA from 1 species
AGUGAACGCUGGCGGUAGGCCUAACACAUGCAAGUCGAACGGCAGCACAGAGGAGCUUGCUCCUUGGGUGGCGAGUGGCGGACGGGUGAGGAAUACAUCGGAAUCUACUCUGUCGUGGGGGAUAACGUAGGGAAACUUACGCUAAUACCGCAUACGACCUACGGGUGAAAGCAGGGGACCUUCGGGCCUUGCGCGAUUGAAUGAGCCGAUGUCGGAUAGCUAGUUGGCGGGGUAAAGGCCCACCAAGGCGACGAUCCGUAGCUGGUCUGAGAGGAGGAUCAGCCACACUGGAACUGAGACACGGUCCAGACUCCUAUGGGAGGCAGCAGUGGGGAAUAUUGGACAAUGGGCGCAAGCCUGAUCCAGCCAUACCGCGUGGGUGAAGAAGGCCUUCGGGUUGUAAAGCCCUUUUGUUGGGAAAGAAAUCCAGCUGGCUAAUACCCGGUUGGGAUGACGGUACCCAAAGAAUAAGCACCGGCUAACUUCGUGCCAGCCGCCGCCGUAA